rnacentral:lncRNA from 1 species
UAGGAAGUUACAGAAGAAACAAGGAAGGAGGCAAUGCUUACCCUCCAUCUACUCCAUUUCCACUCCUACAUACCUGUUGAUGAUGCUUCUGGUGAGCAGUACUGUGAAUUGUGUGCUACUGAAAGAUAGCAGGCACAAUCAAGCAGUUGGCUAAAUGUACAGGUUUGAUUAUGUAUAUAUUUUCCAAUAUAUAUAUAUUCACCCAGCUUUCUGUCCCACAGCCUUUACUCUCUGCCAUGGCUCCAUGAUACUCUGUGCAGAAAGAUGCCUGUGUUCCUUUAUUCCUGGGAUGGUCUUGGAUGUAAGCCCAUGCAACAGGACUCUGUGUUCUUCUCUGCCGGCUCUGCUCACCAAGUCGAUGUGACCAAACCCUGGCUGCUAUAGAUUUUUCCAGAGGCAACCUUGUUCUGCAAUGUGAGUAAGAGACCCAGCCCCUUAGUCCUGGCAAAGAGUUAACCUGAAAAUUGGUAGAACACACUCGACCACUGUCUCUCAUCUCUUUCCUUCUGAUCCCUG